rfam:Brassica napus, WGS project CCCW01000000 data, contig: 18842
AUGCCCCCAUGAGUUCCCUUUAACGCUUCAUUGUGAUUACUUCAGUCACAUUUAUUUUUCUUAAAUGUUUGGUCGAUUUUUGUAUACAACACUGAAGUGUUUGGGGGGACUCGUGGUGCCAU